rnacentral:rRNA from 1 species
CGGGUGAGUAAUGUAUGGGGAUCUGCCUGAUGGAGGGGGAUAACUACUGGAAACGGUAGCUAAUACCGCAUAACGUCGCAAGACCAAAGAGGGGACCUUCGGGCCUCUUGCCAUCGGAUGUGCCCAGAUGGGAUUAGCUAGUAGGUGGGGUAACGGCUCACCUAGGCGACGAUCCCUAGCUGGUCUGAGAGGAUGACCAGCCACACUGGAACUGAGACACGGUCCAG